GUAGCUAAAUGCGGAAGAGAUAAGUGCUGAAAGCAUCUAAGCACGAAACUUGCCCCGAGAUGAGUUCUCCCUGAGACCUUGAGUCUCCUGAAGGAACGUUGAAGACGACGACGUUGAUAGGUCGGGUGUGUAAGCGCAGCGAUGCGUUGAGCUAACCGAUACUAAUGAACCGUGAGGCUUAACCUU
rnacentral:rRNA from 2 species